rfam:Trichobilharzia regenti genome assembly, scaffold: TRE_scaffold0040595
AUCCAGCCGACCAGUCUUAAACAAGACGGAAUGCGCAUCCUGGAU